UUGAUCCUGGCUCACAACGAACGCUGACGGCGCGUUUUAAGCAUGCAAGUCGAACGGUAGUAAGGUGCUUGCACCUUAUGAGAGUGGCGAACGGGUGAGUAACACGUAGGUGAUCUACCGUAAAGUUGGGGAUAGCCUGUGGAAACACAGGGUAAUACCGGAUAAUUCUUAUUGUUUACGGACGAUAAGGGAAAGGGGCCACGGCCCUGCUUUUCGAAGAGCCUGCGUUCCAUUAGUUAGUUGGCAGGGUAACGGCCUACCAAGGCGACGAUGGAUAGCCGGCCUGAGAGGGUGACCGGCCACACUGGGACUGAGACACGGCCCAGACUCCUACGGGAGGCAGCAGCUAAGAAUCUUCCGCAAUGGGCGAAAGCCUGACGGAGCGACGCCGCGUGGACGAAGAAGGCCGGAAGGUUGUAAAGUCCUUUUCUCGAUGAAGAAUAAGGCAGCGAGGGAAUGCGCUGUCGAUGACAUUAGUUGAGGAAUAAGCCCCGGCUAAUUACGUGCCAGCAGCCGCGGUAACACGUAAGGGGCGAGCGUUGUUCGGAAUUAUUGGGCGUAAAGGGCGCGUAGGCGGCUUGGCAAGCCUGGUGUGAAAGGCCACAGCUUAACUGUGGGAGUGCGCUGGGAACUGCCUAGCUAGAGUUUCGGAGGGGAAGCUGGAAUUCCUGGUGUAGGGGUGAAAUCUGUAGAUAUCAGGAAGAACAUCUGUGGCGAAGGCGAGCUUCUGGCCAGAAACUGACGCUGAGGCGCGAAAGCGUGGGGAGCGAACAGGAUUAGAUACCCUGGUAGUCCACGCUGUAAACGAUGUGCACUAGGUGUUGGCUGUGAUAACGGUCAGUGCCGAAAGCAACGCGAUAAGUGCACCGUCUGGGGAGUAUGCUCGCAAGGGUGAAACUCCAGAGGAAUUGACGGGGGCCCGGACAAGCGGUGGAGCAUGUGGUUAACUUCGAUGAUACGCGAGGAACCUUACCAGGCUUUGGCCUAUUGGCGACUGCGGC
rnacentral:rRNA from 1 species